AUUUCCCCCGCCUAGAUGGCCGCUGGCUGGUCGGGUUUUCUAUCAGCGAAUAUUUCGCUGAAAUUAUUCGUUGUUUAUGAAACCUGCUUAGCCGGUUGCCUUCUUUCCCCCUCCCCUUG
rnacentral:precursor_RNA from 9 species